AACAAACGCUGGCGGCGUGCCUAAUACAUGCAAGUCGAACGGGGAAAGCUUUCGGGUGAGUACUAGUGGCGCACGGGUGAGUAACGCGUGGAUAAUCUGCCUUAGAGUGGGGGAUAACUAGUCGAAAGAUUAGCUAAUACCGCAUAAGACCACAGGAACCGAGGUUCUAGAGGUCAAAGGUUUUUCGCUCUAAGAUGAGUCCGCGUAAGAUUAGCUAGUUGGUGAGGUAACGGCUCACCAAGGCAACGAUCUUUAACUGGACUGAGAGGAUGAUCAGUCACACUGGAACUGAGACACGGUCCAGACUCCUACGGGAGGCAGCAGUAGGGAAUAUUGCACAAUGGAGGAAACUCUGAUGCAGCGACGCCGCGUGAGUGAUGAAGGCCUUCGGGUCGUAAAGUUCUGUCGCAGGGGAAUAACACAAUGAAUGUACCCUGUAAGAAAGGAUCGGCUAACUUCGUGCCAGCCGCCGCUGUAACAC
rnacentral:rRNA from 1 species